UACGUAAGUGGCGAGCGUUAUCCGGAAUUACUGGGCGUAAAGCGCGCGUAGGUGGCUUCGUAAGUCCGUUGUGAAAGUCAAAGGCUCAACCUUUGAAUGCCGAUGGAUACUGCGGAGCUAGAGUACGGAAGAGGCGAGUGGAAUUCCUGGUGUAGCGGUGGAAUGCGCAGAUAUCAGGAGGAACACCAAUAGCGAAGGCAGCUCGCUGGGACGUACUGACACUAAGGCGCGAAAGCGUGGGGAGCGAACAGG
rnacentral:rRNA from 1 species